rnacentral:rRNA from 1 species
UACAGAGGUCCCAAGCGUUGUUCGGAUUCACUGGGCGUAAAGGGUGCGUAGGUGGUCGGGUAAGUCUGAUGUGAAAUCUCCGAGCUCAACUCGGAAAUGGCAUUGGAAACUACCUGGCUGGAGGGUUGGAGGGGGGACUGGAAUUCUCGGUGUAGCAGUGAAAUGCGUAGAUAUCGAGAGGAACACCUGUGGCGAAAGCGGCUCACUGGACCACAACUGACGCUGAGGCGCGAAAGCUAGGGGAGCAAACAGG